CUGUUGUCCGAUCUUCUUCUCUGUUCCGGCUCGGCACCAUUGUGGCAUUUGGAUUUCACCAGAGGAAGCUUCAGACCUGUUUGGGCUUUAGCCAUUCUUAUUGAGGAUGAUCCACAGCUUCGGACAUAACUUCCAGCAGCAAGAUCUGUGUUUGUGAGUUGGCAGGAAGAUACUUAGAGUGAGUGAAGAAUUUCAGCAGCCAACAACCCUUGACGGCAGUAAUUCCAGCCAGCAACUCUUUGAUUCCAGUACAAACCAGUGGCUGUGAAUUUAGGACUUUGAUUCGAGACG